rnacentral:misc_RNA from 1 species
GUAUUUUUGACCCUUUUCCGAAAAAAGAAUUACAUUCAAUUACUCAACUUUUCACCUCCCACUUCAGGAAUUUAAAGGAAUUUCCUAGAUUAAACACGAAGCAUCACUAAUUUAAUAUAUGGAAAAGGAAAUAUUUGUCAAUUGCCCUUAUACUCUUAGAAAAUGGUUAUAUAUAUACCCUUAGUUAUACUCUUUUGAUAUAUUUGCCCUUAUCAUCCAACUUUGAGAGCAUA